UGGAUAUACACACACAUUUUUGCUACCAGAAGAUGCUGCCAGAGUCAAUUGCAGUGGUGUGCUCACCCAAAUAUAAACAAACUGGAAUUUUCACAUUGACAUCCUAUGGGUUAAAAGAAAUUUCAUGUUGCCCCAAGAGGGGCUUCCAUCCCCAUAAACAGGACUCAGCUCUCUUCUGCGUAAGUAUCUGGGUACAAGAAUUUGAGGCCAUGUUCCUAGCAAGGACAUAGACCUGAUAAGUAU
rnacentral:lncRNA from 1 species